CGUCGCUCUGUAAAUUUAACCAGUGGUGUUGAAAAAGGAGUCGGCUGUUCACUUUCUCUGGUGUAACAGUGCUCUCCCAGCAGACAGACAGGCAGAUGAAGCUCUGAUGUCGCCCUUAUCUUCAUUCCUGUCUCACAUCCCGCAGGAUGCUCGAUGCCUCGACACGUCCAGCGGGGCAUCCUGGACGUCAGGAUUGACCCUCAUGACCUGCCGUACAAACUUUACUCUGGAAGGGCAGAACGACAUCUGUGAUGUAGGAAGAUAAACAUUUAUUUUGCUGAACAUUGUUUUACCCAAGAAACUCUCUUUCCUGCAACGUUUAAAAUCUCUUCGGGUGUCAGAUAACAACACCUGAAAUAUUCUGAAUUGCACCCUGGCAACAUUUGAACCUAUAAAACAUCAUGCAUUAUGUUUCAUGUGUCUUAUUCAUUAAUUAUGAAAAGCUACUGACAGUAAAAUGUUAAUUAGACAUGAACACAUCAGCAAUAUAACAUGAUUACCGAUCUU